rnacentral:misc_RNA from 1 species
GGAGUAAAAGUCGUAACAAGGUUUCCGUAGGUGAACCUGCGGAAGGAUCAUUAUUGUAUAACCGAGGUGCGAGGGCUGUCGCUGACCCGAAAGGUCGUGCACGCCCGAGUGCCCUCACACACAUCCAUCUCACCCCUAUGUGCACCACCGCGUGGGUCCCCCUUUGGCUUGUUCGGAGGGGGGCUUACGUUUUCACACAAACUUUGUAUGCAGUGUAGAAUGUAUUUUUUGUUUUUGCGAUCACGCAAUCAAUACAACUCUCAACAACGGAUCUCUUGGCUCUC